UCCCCAGUGGUCUAGUGGUUAGGAUUUGGCACUUUCACUGCCGUGGUCUGGGUUCAGUCCCCGGUCAGGAAA
rnacentral:tRNA from 1 species